rnacentral:lncRNA from 1 species
AAAGGAAGAGGGUUGUAGAUUAACAGUCGGUUGUAACACGAGCUCCAAAAAACAUUGUGAUGAUGUAAGGUGAAUCAUGUAGUAAUAAACUAAUACUUCUUAACAACUUGUUACUAUACGUGUUGACUAUUAGGUCGGCUAUAUAUGACAUGGCAACUCCUUAUAGCCGGCAGUUGGCUAUACUAUUAAUCAUGCUCUAAGCAAAAAAUAUGAUGUGACAAUUAAUUAAUGAGAAGA